rnacentral:rRNA from 1 species
UACGGAGGGUGCAAGCGUUAUCCGGAUUUACUGGGUUUAAAGGGUGCGUAGGCGGGUAGGUAAGUCAGUGGUGAAAUCUUCGGGCUUAACUCGGAAAUUGCCGUUGAUACUAUCUAUCUUGAAUAUCGUUGAGGUUUGCGGAAUAUGUCAUGUAGCGGUGAAAUGCUUAGAGAUGACAUAGAACACCUAUUGCGAAGGCAGCAGGCUAAACGAACAUUGACGCUGAGGCACGAAAAGCGUGGGGAUCAAACAGG